GUUUCAGCAUUUAGGCUGCUGAUUGCUGAUCUUGUCAGAUCCCAGAAGCUAAGCAGGGCCAGUCCUGGUUAGUACUUGUGUGGGAGACCAGCUGGAAAUACGAGAUGUGUAAGACA
rnacentral:rRNA from 1 species